UACGUAGGGGGCUAGCGUUGUCCGGAAUCAUUGGGCGUAAAGCGCGUGUAGGCGGUCCGGUAAGUCCGCUGUGAAAGUCGGGGGCUCAACCCUCGAAUGCCGGUGGAUACUGUCGGGCUAGAGUGCGGAAGAGGCGAGUGGAAUUCCUGGUGUAGCGGUGAAAUGCGCAGAUAUCAGGAGGAACACCAAUUGCGAAGGCAGCUCGCUGGGACGUUACUGACGCUGGAGACGCGAAAAGCGUGGGGAGCAAACAGG
rnacentral:rRNA from 1 species